rnacentral:misc_RNA from 1 species
AGCAGCCGCGGUAAUUCCAGCUCCAAUAGCGUAUAUUAAAGUUGCUGCAGUUAAAAAGCUCGUAGUUGAAUUUCGGGACCAUCAUGUUGGUCGUGCCUCGGUACGUACUGGCAUUGUUGGUUUCUCCCUUCUGACGAACCAUGAUGUCAUUUAUUUGGUGUCGUGGGAAAUCAGGACUGUUACUUUGAAAAAAUUAGAGUGUUUAAAGCAGGCUCACGCUUGAAUACAUUAGCAUGGAAUAAUGAAAUAGGACGUUUGAUUCUAUUUUGUUGGUUUCUAGGAUCGACGUAAUGAUUAAUAGGGAUAGUUGGGGGCAUUAGUAUUCAAUUGUCAGAGGUGAAAUUCUUGGAUUUAUUGAAGACUAACUACUGCGAAAGCAUUUGCCAAGGAUGUUUUCAUUAAUCAAGAACGAAAGUUAGGGGAUCGAAGACGAUCAGAUACCGUCGUAGUCUUAACCAUAAACUAUGCCGACUAGGGAUCGGAUGAUGUUAAUUUUUUUCAAUGACUCAUUCGGCGCCUU